UCCAAUCCAAUUUUUGAUUGUGACGGGUUGCGCUGUUUCGUUUCCGUAGGUCUUUUUACGCAGAACUUAUUUCCAUCCUAUAUAUCUCGUCCGUGAAAUGGAAUUAGCGACUGUAAUGUGCAUGGUAAUAUGUGACGAGGCACCACGCGAGCAGGACUGAACGGACUGCCCCUAGUGCAGCCUGGUAAAGCAGGAGUUGCUCAGUGGUAAACUCCUAGUUCGACUUCCCCGAGACGGCCCCACCUACGUCACCUACUGUGCUGAGGUUCAGGCUUCAUUGCAGAUAUCAAAAGAGUUUAUGGACUACUUCUCCAUCAGAUUGCAGGCACCUGAACCGGGAUUCACUCCCUGCCACCCGGGGUCCCUGGGUUGGUGCUUUGCCUCGAAGCCACUGAGCAGCUAUCAUGGACCACAAGGAUCGACCUUGCCGAGACACGCACAGCCUGCAAUGUUCUUGCUUCAUGGCAGCCGUCAAUGGUAGUUUUCUGAGAAAACUUGCCUUGGGACCUCACGUAUGUUUACGAUGAGGCUUCCAGGUGUGCAGGCUUGAGGCACUGGAUGGCAACCACAUCAUCUUUUCUGUUGACAAGAAUGACAAAUAUGUCCACCCUUCAGCUUAUUACUCGGAA